rnacentral:rRNA from 1 species
UGCGAAUGGCUCAUUAUAUAAGUUAUCGUUUAUUUGAUAUUGCCUAUCCUACAUGGAUAACAGUGGUAAUUCUAGAGCUAAUACAUGCUGAAAAUCCCGACUUCGGAAGGGACGUAUUUAUUAGAAUCAGAACCAAUGCCCUUCGGGGCUUCUUGGUGACUCAUGAUAACUCCACAGAUCGCAUGGCCUUGCGCCGGCGAUGGCUCAUUCAAAUUUCUUCCCUAUCAACUUUCGACGGUACGGUAUUGGCCUACCGUGGUUGUAACGGGUGACGGAGGGUUAGGGCUCGACCCCGGAGAGGGAGCCUGAGAAACGGCUACCACAUCCAAGGAAGGCAGCAGGCGCGCAAAUUAUCCAAUCCCGACACGGGGAGAUAGUGACAAUAAAUACCGAUACAGGGCUCUUUUGGGCCCUGUAAUUGGAAUGAGUACAAUUUAAACCUCUUAACGAGGAACAAUUGGAGGGCAAGUCUGGUGCCAGCAGCCGCGGUAAUUCCAGCUCCAAUAGCGUAUAUUAAAGUUGUUGUGGUUAAAAAGCUCGUAGUCGAACCUCGAGCCUGGCCGGCCGGUCCGCCUCACCGCGUGCACUGGUCUGGCCGGGCUCUUCCCUCUGCGGAACCGCAUGUCCUUCACUGGGCGUGUCGGGGAGGCAGGACUUUUACUUUGAAAAAAUUAGAGUGCUCAAGGCAGGCCAAUGCUCGAAUACAUUAGCAUGGAAUAAUAGAAUAGGACGUUGGUUCUAUUUUGUUGGUUUCUAGGACCGCCGUAAUGAUCAAUAGGGACGGUCGGGGGCAUCAGUAUUCAGCCGUCAGAGGUGAAAUUCUUGGACCGGCUGAAGACUAACUACUGCGAAAGCAUUUGCCAAGGACGUUUUCGCUGAUCAGGAACGAAAGUUAGGGGAUCGAAGACGAUCAGAUACCGUCGUAGUCUUAACCAUAAACUAUGCCGACUAGGGAUCGGGCGGCGUUCUUUCUAGACCCGCUCGGCACCUUUCGAGAAAUCAAAG